AUUGAACGCUGGCGGCAUGCCUUACACAUGCAAGUCGAACGGUAACAGGUCUUCGGAUGCUGACGAGUGGCGAACGGGUGCGUAAUACAUCGGAACGUGCCCGAUCGUGGGGGAUAACGAAGCGAAAGCUUUGCUAAUACCGCAUACGAUCUACGGAUGCAAGCAGGGGACCGCAAGGCCUUGCGCGAACGGAGCGGCCGAUGGCGGAUUAGGUAGUUGGUGGGAUAAAAGCUUACCAAGCCGACGAUCUGUAGCUGGUCUGAGAGGACGACCAGCCACACUGGAACUGAGACACGGCCCAGACUCCUACGGGAGGCAGCAGUGGGGAAUUUUGGACAAUGGGCGAAAGCCUGAUCCAGCCAUGCCGCGUGCAGGAUGAAGGCCUUCGGGUUGUAAACUGCUUUUGUACGGAACGAAAAGACUCUGGUUAAUACCUGGGGUCCAUGACGGUACCGGAAGAAUAAGCACCGGCUAACUACGUG
rnacentral:rRNA from 1 species